GUAGGGAAUAUUGCGCAAUGGGGGAAACCCUGACGCAGCGACGCCGCGUGAGUGAUGAAGGCCUUCGGGUCGUAAAGCUCUGUUGCAGGGGAAUAAAAAAAUGAAGGUACCCUGUGAGGAAGGAUCGGCUAACUUCGUGCCAGCAGCCGCGGUAAGACGAGGGAUCCUAGCGUUGCUCGGAAUCAUUGGGCGUAAAGAGGGCGUAGGUGGCGUGGUAAGUCAGGUGUGAAAGCCCAGGGCUCAACCCUGGAAGUGCAUUUGAUACUGCUGAGCUUGAGUGUCGGAGAGGUUACCGGAAUACCUGGUGUAGUGGUGAAAUACGUAGAUAUCAGGUGGAACACCGGAGGCGAAGGCGGGUAACUGGACGAACACUGACACUGAGGCCCGAAAGCGUGGGGAUCAAACAGGAUUAGAAACCCCUGUAGUCC
rnacentral:rRNA from 1 species